UGCUGCCUCCCGUAGGAGUUUGGGCCGUGUCUCAGUCCCAAUGUGGCCGAUCACCCUCUCAGGUCGGCUAUGCAUCAUCGCCUUGGUAGGCCUUUACCCUACCAACUAGCUAAUGCACCGCGGGUCCAUCUCUUAGCGAUAGCUUGCGCCACCUUUCCUCACAGAAUCAUGUGAUUCCAUGUCCUAUGCGGUAUUAGCAGUCGUUUCCGACUGUUAUCCCCCACUAUGAGGUAGGUUACCCACGUGUUACUCACCCGUUCGCCACUCACCUUGACCAAGUGCAAGCACUCAGUCGCGGUUCGUUCGACUUGCAUGUAUUAGGCACGCCGCCAGCGUUCGUCCUGAGCCAGGAUCAAACUCUAAUCGAAUUCCCG
rnacentral:rRNA from 1 species